GAUGAACGCUGACAGAAUGCUUAACACAUGCAAGUCGAUUCGAUUUACCUUCGGGUAUUGAGGAUGGCGGACGGGUGAGUAACGCGUAAGGAACUUGCCUCUUGGUCUGGGACAACUGUUGGAAACGACAGCUAAUACCGGAUAUUAUGAGAUUCUCGCAUGGGAAACUUAUGAAAGCUAUAUGCGCCAAGAGAGAGCCUUGCGUUCCAUUAGCUAGUUGGUGGGGUAACGGCCCACCAAGGCGACGAUGGAUAGCCGGCCUGAGAGGGUGAACGGCCACAAGGGGACUGAGACACGGCCCUUACUCCUACGGGAGGCAGCAGUGGGGAAUAUUGGACAAUGGGCCACAAGCCUGAUCCAGCAAUUCUGUGUGCACGAUGAAGGUCUUCGGAUUGUAAAGUGCUUUCAGUUGGGAAGAAGAAAGUGACGGUACCAACAGAAGAAGCGACGGCUAAAUACGUGCCAGCAGCCGCGGUAAUACGUAUGUCGCAAGCGUUAUCCGGAUUUAUUGGGCGUAAAGCGCGUCUAGGCGGAAAAAUAANUCUGA
rnacentral:rRNA from 1 species